UCCACGGCCCCCACCAUGGCCUCCAUCACAGCCCCGAAAGUCUACCCUCUGACUUCUUGCUGCGGGGACACGUCCAGCUCCACCGUGACCCUGGGCUGCCUGGUCUCCAGCUACAUGCCCGAGCCGGUGACUGUGACCUGGAACUCGGGUGCCCUGAAGAGCGGCGUGCACACCUUCCCGGCCGUCCUUCAGUCCUCCGGGCUCUACUCUCUCAGCAGCACGGUGACCGCGCCCGCCAGCGCCACAAAAAGCCAGACCUUCACCUGCAACGUAGCCCACCCGGCCAGCAGCACCAAGGUGGACAAGGCUGUUGUUCCCCCAUGCAAACCGAAAAUCUGUGAUUGCUGCCCACCCCCUGAGCUCCCCGGAGGACCCUCUGUCUUCAUCUUCCCACCAAAACCCAAGGACACCCUCACAAUCUCUGGAACUCCUGAGGUCACGUGUGUGGUGGUGGACGUGGGCCACGAUGACCCCGAGGUGAAGUUCUCCUGGUUCGUGGACGAUGUGGAGGUAAACACAGCCAGGACGAAGCCAAGAGAGGAGCAGUUCAACAGCACCUACCGCGUGGUCAGCGCCCUGCCCAUCCAGCACAACGACUGGACUGGAGGAAAGGAGUUCAAGUGCAAGGUCUACAAUGAAGGCCUCCCAGCCCCCAUCGUGAGGACCAUCUCCAGGACCAAAGGGCAGGCCCGGGAGCCGCAGGUGUACAUCCUGGCCCCACCCCAGGACGAGCUCAGCAAAAGCACGGUCAGCCUCACUUGCAUGGUCACUGGCUUCUACCCAGACUACAUCGCCGUAGAGUGGCAGAAAGAUGGGCAGCCUGAGUCAGAGGACAAAUAUGGCACGACCCCGCCCCAGCUGGACAGCGAUGGCUCCUACUUCCUGUACAGCAGGCUCAGGGUGAACAAGAACAGCUGGCAAGAAGGAGGCGCCUACACGUGUGUAGUGAUGCAUGAGGCUCUGCACAAUCACUACACGCAGAAGUCCAUCUCUAAGUCUCCGGGUAAAUGAGCCUCACAUCCCUGCACCAGCAAGCCCUCACCCAGCCCAUCCUCCCUGGGCUCCAGGUCCAGCCAGGACGCCCUAGCCCCUCCCUGUGUGCAUUCCUCCUGGGCCGCCAUGAAUAAAGCACCCAGGCCGCCCUGGGACCCUGCAA